rnacentral:misc_RNA from 1 species
GUAUUGUAUUGCGUUAAACGCUGCAUACAUUCCACAAGACUUCAUUGAUGUGUGUGUGUAAAGAGGUAGGACUACGGAAGGAAGGCAGGGCCUCCCAAACCACAGAACUACAGGGGUGCACAGGUGUGAGUGGAUGUGUAAACAGAGCGUGCACAUGCCCCCGUUUGAGGACCAGCAACAACUCGUGUUGACAAUUUGGUAAUGAUCCUUCCGCAGGUUCACCUACGGAAA